UACGUAGGGGGCAAGCGUUGUCCGGAAUCAUUGGGCGUAAAGAGCGUGUAGGCGGUCCGGUAAGUCCGCUGUGAAAGUCGGGGGCUCAACCCUCGAAUGCCGGUGGAAACUGUCGGGCUAGAGUACGGAAGAGGCGAGUGGAAUUCCUGGUGUAGCGGUGAAAUGCGCAGAUAUCAGGAGGAACACCGAUGGCGAAGGCAGCUCGCUGGGACGGUACUGACGCUGAGGCGCGAAAGCGUGGGGAGCAAACAGG
rnacentral:rRNA from 1 species